ACGCCACUCGAGGAGCGUUGACUCGAGCUUCCGUCAUCCGAUGAUACGAACGAUCACAUAGGAUACGAUUCUCGCCUCUCAUUCUUGCGCGCGCCGACCCCGCUGGUGCGCAACACUUUCCGCUGUACAUGCUCUGUACGAACAGACGAUACGAACAGCGAUUCAAAAGCAAGUUUCCCACCCUGUGCGCCUCAACCAGCUCCUGGUGCUCACAAACAAGCUCUGGGGAAACCCUAGCUUCGUCGAGAAAUGCGUCAACUCGGACGUAGCGGUCUUCAGAGGUUUAACUGAGCAGCUCGAGUCUGGCGUACUACUGGGAUACUUAGUGCAGAGGAAGAGGAACGUGCUCGCCGCAAAGUUCGAGCAGCUAGGCAAGCCCUCGUAAUUCUGGCCCUCAGCAUACACGAUGAGCGCCUGCUUGAAGGAAUCGAGAGAGUCAAAGAGCCGGUUGAGACGCACCGCUGCAAGGCCGAUGCCAUAGCCAGCUAGCUGCGGAAUGCUUCGUAACUUCGAUUCCCAGAGUGAGCGGGAUCUGCGCAAUUUUUACAGUGGAGCUGUUAGAACCUCGCUGGGUUUCUCUUGACGUCCGCAGUUUCGCCGAGCUGGGGGAGAGAGAUCUGAGAGAGAGCGAAAGCAGAGUAUAAAAAUUACGGCGUGGCUCUGCUAUCGCAAACACCAGAGACCAGCGGAGCUGGGGGAAGCCCAGCAAAAGAACCUUAUAGCAGUGCCAACCCAUUGUUCAGCGACUCUCGCCACAAUCCAUCACGCACGGUGACACCGCACUGACGAGAAGCAGAGAACGAGGCGACACGCCGAAAGUACCAUGCCAAGGGGGAGGAACCACUUUGUUUCACUCGUGUAAAGAAAGAUAUCUCAUUUAUUUGAAUAAAGAGUGAUACAAAUUGUUUCA